CCUACGGGAGGCAGCAGUAGGGAAUCUUCCACAAUGGGCGAAAGCCUGAUGGAGCAACGCAGCGUGGGUGAAGAAGGUCUUCGGAUCGUAAAACCCUGUUGUUAGGGAAGAAAGUGCGUGAGAGUAACUGUUCACGUUUCGACGGUAUCUAACCAGACAGCCACGGCUAACUACGUGCCAGCAGCCGCGGUAAGACGUAGGUGGCAAGCGUUAUCCGGAUUUAUUGGGCGUAAAGGGAACGCAGGCGGUCUUUUAAGUCUGAUGUGAAAGCCUUCGGCUUAACCGGAGUAGUGCAUUGGAAACUGGGAGACGUGAGUGCAGAAGAGGAGAGUGGAACUCCAGGUGUAGCGGUGAAAUGCGUAGAUAUAUGGAAGAACACCAGUGGCGAAAGCGGCUCUCUGGUCUGUAACUGACGCUGAGGUUCGAAAGCGUGGGUAGCAAACAGGAUUAGAUACCCGAGUAGUC
rnacentral:rRNA from 1 species